GCCUGGGUGGCUCAGUCAUUUAAGCAUCUGACUUCAGCUCAGGUCAUGAUUUCAUGGUUCGUGGGUUCAAGUCCCACGCCAGGCU
rnacentral:tRNA from 1 species